AGAAAUAAUCCGAAGCUUCUCAAUAAGGUACCUCAAGGACAUUGCAUUUCACGUGAAGAUUGGAGUAGUUUUGUGAUUAAUCGGAUGUCUGAAGACUUUAUAAGGAAAAGUGAACUACAAAGUCAGAGAAGCAAGGAAAACUUAUACCCUCAUCGUCUUUCUCGAAAAGGAUAUGCGGGUUUGUCUGAAGAAAUAUCUAGUGUUUUAUGUGAUGACGAAGAGAUAAACAGAGCCAUCCUCUGGAAGAAAGGGC